rnacentral:rRNA from 1 species
AAAUUGAAGAGUUUGAUCAUGGCUCAGAUUGAACGCUGGCGGCAGGCCUAACACAUGCAAGUCGAGCGGAAACGAGUUAUCUGAACCUUCGGGGAACGAUAACGGCGUCGAGCGGCGGACGGGUGAGUAAUGCCUAGGAAAUUGCCCUGAUGUGGGGGAUAACCAUUGGAAACGAUGGCUAAUACCGCAUGAUGCCUACGGGCCAAAGAGGGGGACCUUCGGGCCUCUCGCGUCAGGAUAUGCCUAGGUGGG